rnacentral:rRNA from 1 species
CCUACGAGUGGCUGCAGUGAGGAAUAUUGGUCCAUGGGCGGGAGCCUGAACCAGCCAAGCCGCGUGAGGGAAGAAGGUACAGCGUAUCGUAAACCUCUUUUGUCAGGGAACAAAGGCGGGGACUAGUCCCCGGAUGAGGGUACCUGAAGAAAAAGCAUCGGCUAACUCCGUUCCAGCAGCCGCGGUAAUACGGAGGAUGCGAGCGUUAUACGGAGGUAUUGGGUUUACAGGGUGCGCAGGCGGCCUGUUAAGUCAGCGGUAAAAGGCCGGGGCGAAACCCCGGCGAGCCGUUGAAACUGGCGGGCUGGAGUUGGAGAGAAGUACGCGGAAUGCGCGGUGGAGCGGUGAAAUGCUUAGAUAUCGCGCAGAACCCAGAUUGCGAAGGCAGCGUACCGGCUCCACACUGACGCUGAGGCACGAAAGCGUGGGUAUCGAACAGGAUUAGAUACCCCUGUAGUC